ACGGAAGGCAGCAGUGGGGAAUAUUGCACAAUGGGGGCAACCCUGAUGCAGCGACGCCGCGUGAAGGAUGAAGUAUUUCGGUAUGUAAACUUCUAUCAGCAGGGAAGAUAAUGACGGUACCUGACUAAGAAGCCCCGGCUAACUACGUGCCAGCAGCCGCGGUAAUACGUAGGGGGCAAGCGUUAUCCGGAUUUACUGGGUGUAAAGGGAGCGUAGGCGGCAUGGCAAGACAGUAGUGAAAACUCGGGGCUCAACUCGGAGACUGCUAUUGAAACUGUCGAGCUUGAGUGCAGGAGAGGAAAGCGGAAUUCCUAGUGUAGCGGUGAAAUGCGUAGAUAUUAGGAGGAACACCAGUGGCGAAGGCGGCUUUCUGGACUGAUAAUGACGCUGAGGCUCGAAAGCGUGGGGAGCAAACAGGAUUAGAUACCCUGGUA
rnacentral:rRNA from 1 species